GGCUAGCCACCUGGUGUCUAAAAUAUGUACAUCGCUUAAAGUAAGAAUGUGGGAAUGUUGCUGGCAAUCUCCAUCUCAAAUUAUUCUACCCCACUCCUAGCAAAAGUAUGCUGAGAUGAUUGUUGUUUAGUAUUUCCCAAACUGGGUUGUAUGAAGCAUUAAGAGUCCUGGGAAAUGUUAUUAGAAAGUCCUUGAAAAAGGGGGUUCCCUGGUUAACUAACUUUGGGAAGUUCUGUGUAUGAUUGACCUAAGUUACAAUGCAUACUAGAACACUAAACUCUAUGAGAGAUCUAAUAUUAAACCCAUUUGACUUCUUUUAACCCACUAUGUUCCAAACACUGGACCAAGGAAACCUUCUUGCAUAGAUGACCUAAUAACAAAUCGUCGGACACCAGUUUUCCAUGGAACACUCUUUCUUCCCCACUCAGGUGAUGGAGUUCAUUUUCGUGAUCUGAGAAAGAUGUAAAUGAAGACAGUUUUCAAGGCAAAAGCCUCAAACUCCAAAGUAGAAAACAGAGACCAUUCCAUGUAUUUUAAGUGGAGGGAACUUAAGACGGGGAAUUGAUUACACAUGUGAUGGCAGAGGGGCACAACCAACUGGGGCUCUUUGUAAAGCAGCCCAGAGAUUAGAAAGAGUAGGAGGCCAGAACCACUCAGGCUGAGGGGACAAAAAGAAGGUGGCGAACCUGGAUGCUGUGGCCUGGUCACUUGGCAGAAACAGGAAUCAUGGUGGACCUACCUGGAGCGGCUGGAACAACAGCAGACUCAGCCACUGUUAAAGAUGCAACCUGAGAGCUGCCAGCUUCGAGUCUGCUGGUGUUCUUUUCUCCAUCCCUGGAUCUUCUGUGCAGUGAGCUCACUGGGGACAGGGAACCAUACUGGAAGGGUGAAGGGGUGGUUUCAGUUUUCCAGCCACUGAAGUCUUUGACUACAAUGGAUAAAUUCAAUUCAGAGGCACCGGCUACCACGUCACCUUCUCCUGAUGACACUGGGUCAUUUCUGGAGUUCCAGCACAGUGCUGGGCAGGAAGUGCUGUGGUUCCCACGUUUGUGCGCCUCCGCAUUGCAUGGCUUUAAGAGGAUAUCGGAUUUCUUUCUAUAGUCCUGGCACCUCCCUUGAAGCUCUCACCAUCAGCUAUUAGUUUUUUAUGUUUUGUUUUGUUUUUGCAGUACGUGGGCCUCUCACUGCUGUGGCCUCUCCCGUUGAGGAGCACAGGCUCCGGACACGCAGCCUCAGUGGCCACGGCUCACGGGCCCAGCCGCUCUGCGGCAUGUGGGAGCUUCCCGGACUGGGGCACGAACCCAUGUCCCCUGCAUUGGCAGGCGGACUCUCAACCACUGCGCCACCAGGGAAGCCCAGCUAUUAGUUUUGCUGUGUGUAUAGGUCCACAUCUACUCUCUACCUCUUAACUUCCCCCACCGGUUUCUUUUUAAAUUAUAACAUGUAACCGACUAGAGGGCUUCCCUGGUGGUGCAGUGGUUAAGAAUCCGCCUGCUAAUGCAGGGGACACGGGUUCGAGCCCUGGUCCUGGAAGGUCCCACAUGCCGCGGAGCAACUAAGGCAGUGCACCACAACUACUGAGCCUGCUCUCUAGAGCCCGCGAGCCACAACUACGGAUCCCACGUUCCACAACUACUGAAGCCCACGUGCCUAGAGCCCGUGCUCCACAACAAGAGAAGGCACCACAAUGAGAAGCCCGCGCACCGCAACGAAGAGUAGCCCCUGCUCACCGCAACUAGAGAAUGUCCACGUGCAGCAACGAAGACCCAACGCAACCAAAAGUAAAAAAUAAGUAAAAUAAAUAAAUUUAUUUUUUUAAAAAAUGUCAGAGUCAGAUCUCAUGUUUUUAGUACAGUUCAGCAGGAUGUGUAUUCGUGGGAGAACUUCCACUCAGACUUCUCCAAUAAUUAAACUCAUGUGAGCCAUCACAGGACAGAUGGUUGUGCUAUUUAAAACAAAUUAUAACCUUUAAGGAUAAACAUGUACUAUUGAAAUCUAAAUAUAAAUUUGCUUUGAAUUUUAAUUGAGUAGUACUAUUGUUUAACAGGUAAAAUUGAUGUGAAGACUUCAGAAAGUGUUUUUUUUUUUUUAAUUUUUAUUUAUUUAUUUAUUAUUUUUGGCUGUGUUGGGUCUUCGUUUCUGUGCAAGGGCUUUCUCUAGUUGCGGUGAGCGGGGGCUACUCUUCAUCGCGGUGCGCAGGCCUCUCACUGUUGUGGCCUCUCGUUGCGGAGCACAGGCUCCAGACACGCAGGCUCAGUAGUUGUGGCUCAUGGGUCUAGUUGCUCCGCAGCAUGUGGAAUCUUCCCAGACCAGGGCUCGAACCCGUGUCCCCUGCAUUGGCAGGCAGAUUCUCAACCAUUACGCCACCAGGGAAGCCCCAGAAAGUGUUUUUUUAAUAAAGUAAGAAUACCUCUUAAAUGACAAAAAUAUUAGGCAAAAAUUCUUUAUGUAAUUUGUCAAUAUUCCUGGAAGCCUUUGAAAAGCCUUUUUCUGACAUUUAAAUUAUCUGUUCUAUUGAAUAAUUUUGGAACCAGAAAGGGAUGACAGAUUUUUAUCUUGUUUUCUUUUCAUGCCUUAAAGUUGGCCUGUAUAUAAAAUUUAAAUAGCAAUUUUAACUUUGUUGUCAAUCACUGAAGUGUCAUCAAGGGCUGUGAGUAACAAUGACCCUCCUUUUGGUUAUAAGAAAUCCUCUGACCAUUUGAUUGAAAACAGUGUCUAAUCCAAUGUUUAGAUUUCAGUGGUUUUUUUUUUUCACUUUGAUUAUCCUUGUGGUAUUUAAAAUGCAAUUUUGUCUAUUUGGAAUUUUUCAUGAUAGAGGUAUGAAAGAACACGUCGUGUAAAUGUAACCUGUUAACCUUAUUUCAUGACUAGUUUGAUAUUGAAAGCCAAGACAUAUUUUUUCACACUUAUUAAAAAACUGUUGCCAGUGGGAAACGAGUAUACUUUAAGGCUUAGUAAAAAAAAUACUCAAAAUUGUAAACAGUAGGAUCAUGGUUCUGAAGAACCUAGGGGCAAGACAGGAAUAAAGACGCAGACCUCCUAGAGAAUGGACUUGAGGACAUGGGGAGGGGGAAGGGUAAGCUGGGACAAAGUGAGAGAUUGG